AGCAGCCGCGGUAAUUCCAGCUCCAAUAGCGUAUAUUAAAGUUGUUGCAGUUAAAAAGCUCGUAGUUGAAUUUCGGGGUUAGUAGGUUGGUCGUGCCACUGGUACGUACUGGUCUCACUGACUCCUCCUUCCUGAUGAACUGUAAUGCCAUUAAUUUGGUGUUGCGGGGAAACUGGACUGUUACUUUGAAAAAAUUAGAGUGUUUAAAGCAAGCUAACGCUUGAAUACAUUAGCAUGGAAUAAUGAAAUAGGACGUUCGAUCCUAUUUUGUUGGUUUCUAGGAUUGACGUAAUGAUUAAUAGGGAUAGUUGGGGGCAUUAGUAUUCAAUUGUCAGAGGUGAAAUUCUUGGAUUUAUUGAAGACUAACUACUGCGAAAGCAUUUGCCAAGGAUGUUUUCAUUAAUCAAGAACGAAAGUUAGGGAUCGAAGACGAUCAGAUACCGUCGUAGUCUUAACCAUAAACUAUGCCGACUAGGGAUCGGAUGAUGUUAAUUUUUAUGACUCAUUCGGCGCCUUACGG
rnacentral:rRNA from 1 species